rnacentral:rRNA from 1 species
CACGUAGGGGGCGAGCGUUGUCCGGAUUCAUUGGGCGUAAAGCGCGCGUAGGCGGCCACUUAAGUCGGAUGUGAAAGCCCCUGGCUCAACUGGGGAAGUGCACCCGAAACUGAAUGGCUUGAAUGCAAAAGAGGGUCGCGGAAUUCCCGGUGUAGAGGUGAAAUUCGUAGAUAUCUGGAGGAAUACCGGUGGCGAAGGCGGCAUCCUGGACCGACAUUGACGCUGAGGCGCGAAAGCCAGGGGAGCGAACGGG